UACAGAGGGGGCAAGCGUUGUUCGGAAUCACUGGGCGUAAAGGGCGUGUAGGCGGUCUGUUAAGUCUGAUGUGAAAUCCCCUCGCUCAACGAGGGAACUGCGUCGGAUACUGGCAGACUUGAGUACCGGAGAGGAAGGUGGAAUUCCCGGUGUAGCGGUGAAAUGCGUAGAUAUCGGGAGGAACAUCAGUGGCGAAGGCGGCCUUCUGGUCCAGUACUGACACUCAAGUGCGAAAGCGUGGGGAGCAAACAGG
rnacentral:rRNA from 1 species